CCUACGGGUGGCAGCAGUGGGGAAUAUUGCACAAUGGGGGAAACCCUGAUGCAGCGACGCCGCGUGCAGGAAGAAGGAUUUCGGUAUUUAAACUUCUAUCAGCAGGGAAGAAAAUGACGGUACGUGACUCAGAAGCCCCGGCUAACUACGUGCCAGCAGGCGCGGUAAUACGUAGGGGGCAAGCGUUAUCCGGAUUUACUGGGUGUAAAGGGAGCGUAGGCGGUUUAGCAAGUCAGAAGUGAAAGGUCGGGGCUCAACCCCGGGACUGCCUUUGAAACUGUUGAACUAGAUUGUAGGAGGGGUAAGCGGAAUUCCUAGUGUAGCGGUGAAAUGCGUAGAGAUUAGGAGGAACACCAGUGGCGAAGGCGGCUUACUGGACUGUAAAUGACGUUGAGGCUCGAAAGCGUGGGGAGCAAACAGGAUUAGAUACCCUUGUAGUC
rnacentral:rRNA from 1 species